CGGAUUGGUGAGUAACACGUGGGUAACCUGCCUCAAAGAGGGGGAUAGCCUCCCGAAAGGGAGAUUAAUACCGCAUAACAUUAUUUUAUGGCAUCAUAAAAUAAUCAAAGGAGUAAUCCGCUUUGAGAUGGACCCGCGGCGCAUUAGCUAGUUGGUGAGGUAAGGGCUCACCAAGGCGACGAUGCGUAGCCGACCUGAGAGGGGGAUCGGCCACAUUGGAACUGAGACACGGUCCAGACUCCUACGGGAGGCAGCAGUGGGGAAUAUUGCGCAAUGGGGGAAACCCUGACGCAGCAACGCCGCGUGAGUGAUGAAGGUUUUCGGAUCGUAAAACUCUGUCUUUAGGGACGAUAAUGACGGUACCUAAGGAGGAAGCCACGGCUAACUACGUGCCAGCAGCCGCGGUAAUACGUAGGUGGCAAGCGUUGUCCGGAUUUACUGGGCGUAAAGAGUAUGUAGGUGGGUGCUUAAGUCAGAUGUGAAAUUCCCGGGCUUAACCUGGGCGCUGCAUUUGAAACUGGGCAUCUAGAGUGCAGGAGAGGAAAGUGGAAUUCCUAGUGUAGCGGUGAAAUGCGUAGAGAUUAGGAAGAACACCAGUGGCGAAGGCGACUUUCUGGACUGUAACUGACACUGAGAUACGAAAGCGUGGGUAGCAAACAGGAUUAGAUACCCUGGUAGUCCACGCCGUAAACGAUGAAUACUAGGUGUCGGGGGGUACCACCCUCGGUGCCGCAGCAAACGCAUUAAGUAUUCCGCCUGGGGAGUACGGUCGCAAGAUUAAAACUCAAAGGAAUUGACGGGGACCCGCACAAGCAGCGGAGCAUGUGGUUUAAUUCGAAGCAACGCGAAGAACCUUACCUAGACUUGACAUCUCCUGAAUUACUCUUAAUCGAGGAAGUCCCUUCGGGGACAGGAAGACAGGUGGUGCAUGGUUGUCGUCAGCUCGUGUCGUGAGAUGUUGGGUUAAGUCCCGCAACGAGCGCAACCCUUAUUGUUAGUUGCUACUAUUAAGUUAAGCACUCUAACGAGACUGCCGCGGUUAACGUGGAGGAAGGUGGGGAUGACGUCAAAUCAUCAUGCCCCUUAUGUCUAGGGCUACACACGUGCUACAAUGGCUGGUACAACGAGCAGCAAACCCGCGAGGGGGAGCAAAACUUGAAAGCCAGUC
rnacentral:rRNA from 1 species